rnacentral:lncRNA from 1 species
GAUGAACUGCAAAUACCAUCAUCCAGGAGACCGGCUGUCUAAGAAACAGUAUGUAUGUAAGACUCGUAUAAAUUUUCAGAAAAAGCUCGAUUCCGCUGCCUUUUAGAUGAUGUUGAUGAUGAUUUUCUGCGAGUGUUGUUUCAAUUGCAGUGAAGUCAUCCGCAGCGACCACUUGAGCAAAGCAGGGACACGCUGGUUACCGCACGAAUGCUACCAACGGAAAGGUAGGUACCUCUUGUGCAGUGAUGUUGCUGAUAGGAGUUGCUAUUGCUUUGGAAUUCUCCUGAAACAGCCUCCCCUUGACAUGGCCGACUUAACUUGGUGCCUGUUUGUUUUGUUUUGUUUUGCAGCAUUGUCUUGAUGUGUGAGCAGGUGUUGUUAGAGCAGGCUGGCUGGCUCAAGUGUGAGCGUGACUGACGACUGAAGAGAGAGGAGUAGGAGGAUUCUGAUGAAUGAACUAAAGCUUGGAGCUAAUAUAAUCGUCAUCGUUUUUCUGGGGUUGUAUGAGCGAGUAGUUGCUAGUUAUGUCUGUUUUGAGCGCGUUUGAGCUGUGUUGGUGAAAGGUACGGCCACGACGACGCCGGCGGCCGGGAGGCGCUCGACUCCGUCUUCGCCCACAUUGUCGGCGCCGAGGCCGCCAUCGUGCGCCCCCAG